rnacentral:lncRNA from 1 species
GCCACUUUGACAAUUUGGCCUGAUUUUCAACUAAGUAUGGGUGGAUUUCUUGAUUGGGCUUGGAAUCUUCUUAUUGGGCCUUGCCUUCAAGAAUUUGGGCUUGUGAUCCAUCUCCUACUGAAAUUGAAUCGUUGAUGCUCGUAAUGGAGAUCCAAUGCGCUUUGGCUGCAAGAUUUGGUUUCUUGGACCAAGAUUCCCAAUAUUUGAAAUCUUGAUUUUCCCGUUCUUUCAUGUACGCAUCUAAGGCCUUGCUAAC